GACGAACGCUGGCGGCGUGCCUAAUACAUGCAAGUAGAACGCUGAAGGAGGAGCUUGCUUCUCUGGAUGAGUUGCGAACGGGUGAGUAACGCGUAGGUAACCUGCCUGGUAGCGGGGGAUAACUAUUGGAAACGAUAGCUAAUACCGCAUAAUAGUAGAUGUUGCAUGACAUUUGCUUAAAAGGUGCAAUUGCAUCACUACCAGAUGGACCUGCGUUGUAUUAGCUAGUUGGUGAGGUAACGGCUCACCAAGGCAACGAUACAUAGCCGACCUGAGAGGGGGAUCGGCCACACUGGGACUGAGACACGGCCCAGACUCCUACGGGAGGCAGCAGUAGGGAAUCUUCGGCAAUGGACGGAAGUCUGACCGAGCAACGCCGCGUGAGUGAAGAAGGUUUUCGGAUCGGAAAGCUCUGUUGUAAGAGAAGAACGAGUGUGAGAGUGGAAAGUUCACACUGUGACGGUAUCUUACCAGAAAGGGACGGCUAACUACGUG
rnacentral:rRNA from 1 species